rnacentral:rRNA from 1 species
GACGAACGCUGGCGGCGUGCUUAACACAUGCAAGUCGAACGGAAAGGCCUCUUUCGGGGGGUACUCGAGUGGCGAACGGGUGAGUAACACGUGAGUAACCUGCCCUUGACUUUGGGAUAACUUCAGGAAACUGGGGCUAAUACCGGAUAGGAGCUCCUGCUGCAUGGUGGGGGUUGGAAAGUUUCGGCGGUUGGGGAUGGACUCGCGGCUCAUCAGCUUGUUGGUGGGGUAGUGGCUUACCAAGGCUUUGACGGGUAGCCGGCCUGAGAGGGUGACCGGCCACAUUGGGACUGAGAUACGACCCAGACUCCUACGGGAGGCAGCAGUGGGGAAUAUUGCACAAUGGGUGGAAGCCUGAUGCAGCAACGCCGUGUGCGGGAUGACGGCCUUCGGGUUGUAAACCGCUUUCGCUCAUGACGAAGCUUUGUGUGACGGUAGUGGGUAAAGAAGCACCGGCUAACUACGUG